UGUGUGUGUGUGUGAAAGAGAGAGCCAAAUUUCAGGCAGCCACAGUGGAGUCAUUAGGACUGAUAUUAGCCAGCUGUGAAUGUGCACACGUCUAGGCUGAAGUGGGUCGUAAGGACACUGUGGGAGUUGAGAAGAUGGUUUUCCUCUAAAGAUGAGGUGAGCAUCUAGAUUGAAACAGUAACAGUAAGACUACAGCCGCAUUUAGUAUCUAUUAUAGGAGAGGUUCAGUUGUUUUAUACAAUUCAAAGAUCAAGUUCGAAAUGAUUUGUCUCAGUCCAACAUGGUUACACACUUGCAAAAUUAUAUAAAUUUACACAACUUCGGUUGUUAAAAUAAAGUUACAAAGGUUGAGUUUAGAGUUAGGGUCAGUUUUAGCAUUUCUGCAUUUUUAUAUUAGAAUGUCUCAAACUACUUAAUUCAUUUUUUUUUUUUCUAGUUUAUGAUGAUUUUGCAUAUCUAGUUUAAUUAUUAUGUAAAGGUGAUUUCAUGAUUGCAGCAGUUUUCUGCAUGAACUCAGAGUUACAGCCUUACCGGCGUUACUUUCACAGAACUGUCAAGAAGUGACUAAACAUCUUUGAAACACGGUGUAAGCGAUGUUGAAUAAAAUGAGUAAAAAGCUGUGAUGAGUCUUGAAAAUGAUUGUGAUAUGAUGCUGUGUGAAUCACUGAGAGUCAUAUUGCACUGAUGGUCUUUACCACAUCGAUUGCCUGUCAUAGCCAGGAAGAGAGGCAGCCUUUAAAUAAAAGAUGACAUCCAUUUGCAUUUGCCUCAGAUGGCAAUUAAGACAUGAUCAAAAUGAGCAGGCAAGGAUAGGGAACGAA